rnacentral:lncRNA from 1 species
CUUGUGAAUCAGUGCCAUGUCCUUGGGGAAGGGAAUUAAACAAUGCUAUUGUACUAUGAAGUUUUAACAAUGAGAUACAACCACAUAACAGAAGGAAUGUCAUGUGCAAGGAAGAAGAUUGUCUUAUUGCACAUCAACAAACUGGAACAAAUGGCUGAUUCUAAAAUACAUCAAGUGGCCCUUCAGGACAUACACGCCUUCUGUGACAGGAAUGUGAUGCAACGCCAAGGUGCAUGCGGUGCUUUAGAGCAUUCGUUCUGAGGUGAACAUCACGAAAAAU